AGAGUUUGAUCCUGGCUCAGGAUGAACGCUAGCGGCAGGCUAAUACAUGCAAGUCGAACGGAUCUAUCCAGCAAUGGAUAGGUUAGUGGCGCACGGGUGCGUAACACGUAGGUAACCUACCUGAUACUGGGGCAUAACGAUGGGAAACCAUCGCUAAUUCCGCAUAAGACAAUAAGGGGGCAUCUCUUAGUUGUUAAAGAUUCUCCGCAAGGGGCACUUGGUAUCAGAUGGGCCUGCGGCUGAUUAGCUAGUUGGCGGGGUAAAAGCCCACCAAGGCUGUGAUCAGUAGGGGUUCUGAGAGGAAGAUCCCCCACACUGGCACUGAGAUACGGGCCAGACUCCUACGGGAGGCAGCAGUAGGGAAUAUUGGGCAAUGGCGGAAACGCUGACCCAGCCAUGCCGCGUGCAGGAAGAAGGCGCUCAGCGUUGUAAACUGCUUUUGCCGGGGAAGAACGACUCUUACGCGUAAGAGGAAUGACGGUACCUGGUGAAUAAGCACCGGCUAACUCCGUGCCAGCAGCCGCGGUAAUACGGAGGGUGCAAGCGUUGUCCGGAUUUAUUGGGUUUAAAGGGUGCGUAGGUGGCUUGUUAAGUCUGGGGUGAAAGGCAGUGGCUCAACCACUCGCAGGGCCCUGGAUACUGGCAGGCUGGAGUGUAGGUGAGGCCGGUGGAACGGGUGGUGUAGCGGUGAAAUGCAUAGAUACCAUCCAGAACACCGAUUGCGGAGGCAGCCGGCUAACCUACUACUGACACUGAGGCACGAAAGCGUGGGGAGCAAACAGGAUUAGAUACCCUAGUAGUCC
rnacentral:rRNA from 1 species